CUUGAUAUUUCUGAUUAUUAUUUACAUCGACUGAAGAAUAAUGGGCACAAAGAUAAGAUUUUUUUUGUGUAAAAUUAAAUUGUUUAACAUCUGAAACUGUUUCCAAUUUAGUUGAUAACUAAUUCAACUAGUAGAUCAUUGUGCUCAGAGAUGUGACUAAGUUUAAAAAAAAAGUUUUGACAAAAGAUUAGUACAAUGGAUAAUUGUGUGCGGCGUGAUACACUGUUUGUAAAUGCUUCCACUUGACUUUUUAUCGAAGCUAUAGUUAUAAUUGGAGUCAAGUGUUGAGCCCGUAAAUUGCAAAAUCCCAUUUCAAUCGUCUAAUUGAUUUUAUUUAACGAUCUAGCCUGGAAGCAACUUCAAAAACCAAUGUUUUAACGAAUGAAAUAACACAACUUUACUACCGCACUAAACCGAAAGCAACAAAAAAGAUUCAUGUCAAUAAAACUGAUCGUAAAUUACA